rfam:Pongo abelii chromosome 3.
AUGGCAGUAAAUUUGUGUCUAUACUCUGUCACUUUACUUUUGGCCUCAAGUCAUUGCAGUAAAGUGGCAGAGUAUAGACACAAAUUUAGGCCU